ensembl:snoRNA small nucleolar RNA SNORA2/SNORA34 family
CUGGCCCUGAAUCAAGGCAGGCAGCUUCCUGAUGUGUUGGUUUAAAGCAGGAGCCUAAAGAGAUGUCUUUCUAUGAUCUGUUGGACAUUUUAAAACUUGGGCAGUGAAAUGAUCAAUUCAUUAGAAAAAAACAGCU